UAGUGCAAUUUAAAUGUGUUUUUAAAACAACGACGCAUACAAUUUUAUAGUGACUAAUGUAUACAAUUAAAAGUCGAGCUCAUAAUUAAUAUAAUUAAAUUAUUUACACAAUAUAAUCUAACGAUAUUUUCAAUCACGGAACAUCUGUCGAUUUUUGUUCCGUCUUUGUUAUUAUUGUUAAAACGAUUUUUAUAAUAUUAUAUUGUUCGUU